AGUCAACGCUGGCGGUAGGCCUAACACAUGCAAGUCCAACGGCAGCACAGAGGAGCUUGCUCCUUGGGUGGCGAGUGGCGGACGGGUGAGGAAUACAUCGGAAUCUACUCUGUCGUGGGGGAUAACGUAGGGAAACUUACGAUAAUCCCGCAUACGACCUACGGGUGAAAGCAGGGGACCUUCGGGCCUUGCGCGAUUGAACGCGCCGAAGACGGCUUAGCUAGUGGGCGGGGUAAAGGCCCACCAAGGCGACGAUCCGUAGCUGGUCUGAGAGGAUGAUCAGCCAGACUGGAACUGAGAAACGGUCCAGACUCCUACGGGAGGCAGCAGUGGGGAAUAUUGGACAAUGGGCUCAAGCCUGAUCCAGCCAUACCGCGUGGGUGAAGAAGGCCUUCGGGUUGUAAAGCCCUUUUGUUGGGAAAGAAAUCCAGCUGGCUAAUACCCGGUUGGGAUGACGGUACCCAAAGAAUAAGCACCGGCUAACUGCGUGCCAGCCGCCGCGGUAA
rnacentral:rRNA from 1 species